AAAAAAACAGAAGAAAGAAAAAGAAUCCUCUCUAGACUAAGUCCAGAUUCCGGCCAAGGCCCACCGUUCCGGCGUCUCGCCGGUGGCCGGAAAUUUCAGAAAAAGGUACUGGCGGAGCAGUUGGAGCAGGUGAGUCGGUGGCAAGUGGGCGUGGUGACGGCUGCGAACAGAGGGCAGGUGAGGAGGCCAGGAGCAGGUGCGGCACAACAGGGGGCUAGGGUUUCUGCUAGGUGUUUAGGUUUUGGGCUGAUUGGGCUGUUAGGGUUUUUAUUUUUUUGGGCUUUGUUUGGUUGUAAUGGGUAGAGGUUUAGGUUUGUAUUUGGGUUGUUGGGUUUUAUUUUCUUUGGUGGGCCGGGCGAAUUUGGGCUUCUACAAUAACAUAUUUAUAAGUUCAAAUUAGAACAUUUGAAAUAAAUACGUGACCUUAAUAAAA